rnacentral:rRNA from 1 species
UACAGAGGGGGCAAGCGUUGUUCGGAAUUACUGGGCGUAAAGGGCGCGUAGGCGGCCUUCUAAGUCGAACGUGAAAUCCCCGGGCUCAACCCGGGAACUGCGUCCGAGACUGGAAGGCUUGAAUCCGGGAGAGGGAUGCGGAAUUCCAGGUGUAGCGGUGAAAUGCGUAGAUAUCUGGAGGAACACCGGUGGCGAAGGCGGCAUCCUGGACCGGCAUUGACGCUGAUGAGCGAAAGCCAGGGGAGCAAACGGG